rnacentral:rRNA from 1 species
AACUCAAAAGGAAUUGACGGGGGCCCGCACAAGCGGUGGAGCAUGUGGUUUAAUUCGAUGCAACGCGAAGAACCUUACCUACUCUUGACAUCCACGGAAUUUGGCAGAGAUGCCUUAGUGCCUUCGGGAACCGUGAGACAGGUGCUGCAUGGCUGUCGUCAGCUCGUGUUGUGAAAUGUUGGGUUAAGUCCCGCAACGAGCGCAACCCUUAUCCUUUGUUGCCAGCGAUUCGGUCGGGAACUCAAAGGAGACUGCCGGUGAUAAACCGGAGGAAGGUGGGGAUGACGUCAAGUCAUCAUGGCCCUUACGAGUAGGGCUACACACGUGCUACAAUGGCGCAUACAAAGAGAAGCGACCUCGCGAGAGCAAGCGGACCUCACAAAGUGCGUCGUAGUCCGGAUCGGAGUCUGCAACUCGACUCCGUGAAGUCGGAAUCGCUAGUAAUCGUGGAUCAGAAUGCCACGGUGAAUACGUUCCCGGGCCUUGUACACACCGCCCGUCACACCAUGGGAGUGGGUUGCAAAAGAAGUAGGUAGCUUAACCUUCGGGAGGGCGCUUACCACUUUGUGAUUCAUGACUGGGGUGAAGUCGUAACAAGGUAACCGUAGGGGAACCUGCGGCUGGAUCMACCU